CUUAGCAUAAUCAGCGGGGAAGAAGACCCCUGUUGAGCUUGACUCUAGUCAGACUUUUGAGAAAAUUGACAUGAAGAAUAUAGCAUAGUGGGAGAUUACUUAAAAUGAUCGACUUUGAAAUACCACUGUCUUUAUAGUUGUUUUCUUAUUUAAUUGGGUAGAAACAGGGCCAAAAAGCCCUUUUUUCUUGAGUUAAUUGGAAUGAUACGCUUGGGGGGGUAUUAUUGUUUGGUCUCUGAAAGGGGAUCAAGUGGUAGUAUCUUUUAUCCCCAGGCCUCUGCAUCCGAGAUCUAGGUUAAAGACAUUGUCUGGUGGGGAGUUUGGCUGGGGCGGCACAUCUGUUAAAAGCUAACACAGGUGUCCUAAGAGGAGCUCAAUGAGAACAGAAAUCUCAUGUAGAACAUAAGGG
rnacentral:rRNA from 1 species